rnacentral:rRNA from 1 species
UACGUAGGGGGCAAGCGUUGUCCGGAUUUACUGGGCGUAAAGAGCGCGUAGGCGGAACGUUAAGUCCGAUCUGAAAGCCCCCGGCUCAACCGGGGAGGGUGGUUGGAAACUGGCGUUCUUGAGGGCGAUAGAGGAAGGUGGAAUUCCUGGUGUAGCGGUGAAAUGCGUAGAGAUCAGGAGGAACACCGGUGGCGAAGGCGGCCUUCUGGGUCGAUACUGACGCUGAGGUGCGAAAGCCAGGGGAGCGAACGGG